rnacentral:rRNA from 1 species
UAUCUAACAGCUAGCUCACCUUCUAAGAUAAACAACCACCAUUAUGAUAUCCUAAACUUUACCUUUACCUAAACCUUAAAUUAAAUCAUUUUACCUCCCAAGUACGGGCGACGAAAAAGGCUCUAAUGAAGCGAUAGAGAGAGUACCGCAAGGGAAAGCUGAAAGAGAAAUGAAAUAACUCAGUUAAAAACCAAAAAGCAGAGAUUUCUCCUCGUACCUUUUGCAUCAUGAUUUAGCAAGAAAAACUUAAGCAAAAAGUAUUUUAGUUUAAAACCCCGAAACUAAGUGAGCUACUUCAAGACAGCCUAAUUAUAGGGCAAACCCAUCUCUGUGGCAAAAGAGUGGGGAGAGCUUCAAGUAGAGGUGACAAACCUACCGAACUUAGUUAUAGCUGGUUGCCUAAGAAAUGAAUAGAAGUUCAGCCCCUUAAAUUCUUGAAUCAAUACUAGCCUCACCCCUGCUACAGAUUAAAAGAAUUUUAAGGGAGUCAAUCAAAGGGGGUUCAGCCCCUUUGAAAAAAGAUACAACUUUUAUAAUAGGAUAAAGAUCAUAACUUACAUAAGGUACAUGCCCUACGGUUGGCUUAAAAGCAGCCACCCAAACAGAAAGCGUUAAAGCUCAAGCAUCCUACUUUUACCACUAAUACGGACAACUUCAUCUUAAUCCACUACUUCUAUUAGGCCACUCCAUUCCCUAAUAUAUGGAAGCGAUUAUGCUAAUAUGAGUAAUAAGAGAACUACCGCUUCUCUCCAAGCACACCCAUAAAUCGGAACGAACCCCCACCGAAAAUUAACGACCCCAAAAUACCAGAGGGUAUUAGAUAUAAAACAAAAAACAAGAAAACCAUCUAAAUAUAUACCGUUAACCUCACACCAGUGUGCACCCUAUAGGAAAGACUAAAAGAAAAAGAAGGAACUCGGCAAACACAAACCUCGCCUGUUUACCAAAAACAUCGCCUCUUGCUAAUUUAUAGUAUAAGAGGUCAUGCCUGCCCUGUGACCAUAAGUUUAACGGCCGCGGUAUCUUAACCGUGCAAAGGUAGCGCAAUCACUUGUCCUUUAAAUGAGGACCCGUAUGAAUGGCAAUACGAGGGUUUAACUGUCUCCUUUUUCCAGUCAAUGAAAUUGAUCUCCCCGUGCAGAAGCGGGGAUACAUCCAUAAGACGAGAAGACCCUAUGGAGCUUUAGGCACUAAAACAGACCAUAUUAAAUACCCUAAAACAAGUAGAUGUAAAACUUAUUGUAUCCUGUUUAUAUAUGCCUUUGGUUGGGGCGACCGCGGGGAAACAAAAAACCCCCACGUGGACCAGGAGCACCCCCUUAUACCCCUCCCACAACCUAGAACUACAAUCCUAGUUAACAGAACUUCUGACCAUAAAUGAUCCGGCACUCAAACCGAUCAACGGACCAAGUUACCCUAGGGAUAACAGCGCAAUCCCCUUUUAGAGCCCAUAUCGACAAGGGGGUUUACGACCUCGAUGUUGGAUCAGGACAUCCUAUUGGUGUAACCGCUAUUAAGGGUUCGUUUGUUCAACGAUUAAAGUCCUACGUGAUCUGAGUUCAGACCGGAGUAAUCCAGGUCAGUUUCUAUCUAUGAUAUGCUCUUUUCUAGUACGAAAGGACCGAAAAGAAAAGGCCCAUGUUAAAGACAUGCCUUACCCUCAAUUAAUGAACUCAACUAAAACUAAGCAAAAGGGCAUAUACCCUUUUAAGCUAAAGAAAAUAGCCU